GGGGAGUGACACAGUAGGAUAAGCUAACCGUACUGUUGGUUAUGUACGGCUAAGCAUUGAGGCAGUCUAAAUAGGCAAAUCCGUUUAGACAAUGCUAGGAUGUGAUGGGGGAGCCCUUCGGGGCGAAGUAGCUGAUUUCACACUGUCAAGAAAAGCUUCUAUCGAGUUUAAAGGCGCCCGUACCGUAAACCGACACAGGUGGGUGAGGAGAGUAUCCUAAGGCCAGCGAGAGAACUAUUGUUAAGGAACUCGGCAAAAUGACCCCGUAACUUAGGGAGAAGGGGUGCCUGUCUAUGACAGGCCGCAGAGAAUAGGCCCAAGCGACUGUUUACCAAAAACACAGGUUUCUGCUAAGUCGCAAGACGAUGUAUAGGAGCUGGCGCCUGCCCGGUGCUGGAAGGUUAAGGGGAUCUGUUAGAGCAAUCGAAGCAGUGAACUUAAGCCCCAGUAAACGGCGGCCGUAACAAUAACGGUCCUAAGGUAGCGAAAUUCCUUGUCGGGUAAGUUCCGACCCGCACGAAAGGCGUAACGAUUUGGGCACUGUCUCAACAAUAGACUCGGUGAAAUUGUAAUCCCGGUGAAGAUGCCGGGUACCUGCGACAGGACGGAAAGACCCCAUGGAGCUUUACUGUAGCUUGACGUUGGGUCUUGGUACUACAUGUACAGGAUAGGUGGGAGACUAUGAAGCAUGGACGCCAGUCUGUGUGGAGUUAUCCUUGGGAUACCACCCUUGUAGUACUGGGAUCCUAACCAUAGGCCUUGAAUCAGGUCUUGGAACACCGUCAGGUGGGCAGUUUGACUGGGGCGGUCGCCUCCUAAAAAGUAACGGAGGCGCUCAAAGGUUUCCUCAGCACGGUCGGAAAUCGUGCGAAGAGUGUAAAGGCAAAAGGAAGCUUGAUUGCAAGACAUACAGGUCGAGCAAGGACGAAAGUCGGACUUAGUGAUCCGGUGGUACCGCAUGGAAGGGCCAUCGCUCAACGGAUAAAAGCUACCCUGGGGAUAACAGGCUUAUCUCCCCCAAGAGUCCACAUCGACGGGGAGGUUUGGCACCUCGAUGUCGGCUCAUCACAUCCUGGGGCUGUAGUAGGUCCCAAGGGUUGGGCUGUUCGCCCAUUAAAGUGGUACGCGAGCUGGGUUCAGAACGUCGUGAGACAGUUCGGUCCCUAUCCGUCGCAGGCGUAGGAAGUUUGAGAAGACCUGUCCUUAGUACGAGAGGACCGGGAUGGACGUACCUCUGGUGUACCAGUUGUUCUGCCAAGGGCAUGGCUGGGUAGCUAUGUACGGAAUGGAUAAGCGCUGAAAGCAUCUAAGCGCGAAGCCAACUUCAAGAUAAGAUUUCCCACCGUAAGGGUAAGACCCCAGGAAGACUACCUGGUUGAUAGGUCGAAGGUGUAAGUGCAGUAAUGUAUUUAGCUUAUCGAUACUAAUAGGUCGAGGACUUGAGC
rnacentral:rRNA from 1 species